UAUGGAGCAUGUGGGAUCAUCUAUGGCUAGUCCACGGGGGAAUUCAGAGGUUUUUAGCACGUAUCACUCUGCCACAGCUCCAAACUCAAGAACAAUGAAGUGCUCAUCCCCUUGCGUUGAUGGUAAUGAGUUCACAGUGCAUGAGGUGGAGAACAGUGAUAAGAAGGAUAAUUCAAAUGACAGCUCUCACUCUAACCUACUUCCUCAUUCUUCCGCUGGUGGGGUUAGGGAAAAUGCUUUAUCAGAUGCCAGUGAUUCAAGGUGUCUCAUGGGGAAGCAGAAGUUGUCUGAUCAGGGUGGUCAGAAAAAUUCUUGGCCUCCAAAGUUUCAGUAUCAUCCCUUGGGAAACUCAUCGAACUUGGAUGAUGAUUCUGAUCCUUCUCGCAGCAUGGAGCAAUCUACUCAUUCUCAGUCUAUAAUGCAGCACAAUCCCCAGCAUGGCCAAUCAAAAGUUUUUGGUCAGGUUCCUCACAGUCUGGCAGAACUGG
rnacentral:misc_RNA from 1 species